AAUAUGCAGAUGUCUUCUAUAAAUGAAUGCUACACAUUUCUGCCAGUCUAUUCAUUCCAGUACAGUUAUUAUGAUGCCUGUCUAGAUAUGGGAGUGACUCUACACAGUGGGUGGUAACUGCACACAAGUUACAGGUUUGUAUGUUCUUCCAAUGAUAUGAACCAUGUUGUGCAAAAAGUGAGGGUGUGGAACAGUAUUCUAUAAGAAAAGGCCUGGUCAUUUUCCUGCAGAUGCAGUCCUCUUUGCCUUUAUGCAUCUAUGUAUUGCUUAUACAGAUGAAAUUUCUGUGAUGACAUUCUGUACAUUUAGUUCAUUUAAAUAAUCAUCAUAAUAUAUAAUUUAGUAAGCCCUAGGCAGAUGGCAACAACUCACUCCCAGCUGAUCCCAAAAUAACCCCAACAAUCGCUGGACACUUUUAAAUAUAUCCUAUUUUCGUAAGCCAGUUUCAGAAGAAAGGUGGUUUGGGGUAUUGUAAACAUAGACAUAAAACUUGGAUAAGAAAAACAAGAAUGUUAUAAGCCACGGAUAAUUGUGACCACUGAAAAAUCUUGCAAUGUUCACUAUUGAUUUGAACAAAUCUGUCUCACUGCUACUCCCAUCACCAACAGCUAUGGAAGAAGAAGAAGAAGAAGAAAAAGA